rnacentral:lncRNA from 10 species
GCUGGUCGCACAGCAAUCAGUGGUGGAGAUGAGCCUCAAACUCAGGUCCCCAGACCCGAGUCUAGGGAGACAGUGGCCCUGUUUGACCAGUGGACACCCCCACAGAAGACGUAAACAUAAGACCUGAAGCUGUAAAACUCCUAGAGGGAAACAGGGGAAAUGCUGUUUGACAUGGGUCUUGGCAAUGAUUUUUUGGAUAUGAAGCCAAAAGCACAGGCGAAAAAGCAAAAAUAGACAAGUGGGACUACACCAAACUCAAAAGCUUCUGCACAGCAAAGGAAACAACAAAAUGAAAAGGCAGCCUACGGAAUGGGAGGGAAUAUUUGCAAACCCUCUCUCUGAUAAGGGGUUAACAUCCAAGAUAUAUAAGGAACUGCUGUCACUCAAUAGCAGAAAACCAAAUCAGCCAAUUAAAAAGUGGGCAAUGGAUUUGAAUCGACAUUUAUCCAAAGAAGACAAAUAAUCAGCCGGUAUAUAAAAAGGCACCCGACAUCACUUAUCACCAGGACAUGCAAAUCAAAGCCACAGUGAGACCGACUUGCACCUGUUAGGAUGGCUGGCAUCAAAAAGACAAGAUGGCAAGUGUUGGCCGGGGUGUGGAGAAAGGGAGCCCUUGUACCCUGUUGGUGGGAAUGUAAAAUGGUGCAACCAGUAUAGGAAACAGCAUGGAGGUUCCUCGGAAAACUAAAGAUAGAUCUGCCAUCUGAUCCAGCAAUCCCUCUACUGGGUUACAGCCAAAGGAAAUGGCACCAGGAUCUUGAAGAUAGAGCUGUACUCCCAUGAUCGCUGUGGCUUUGUUGAGGAUAGCCAAGAUACGGAAACGCCCGAAGUGUCUGUGGUCAGAUGAAUGAAGAAAGAAAAUGUGGUAUAGACACAUGAUGGAAUAUUAACCUUUAAAAAGAAGGAAACCUGCCAUAUAUGACAACGUGAAUAAACC